rnacentral:rRNA from 1 species
GGGGAAUAUUGCACAAUGGGCGGAAGCCUGAUGCAGCAACGCCGCGUGCGGGAUGACGGCCUUCGGGUUGUAAACCGCUUUCGCCUGUGACGAAGCGUGAGUGACGGUAAUGGGUAAAGAAGCACCGGCUAACUACGUGCCAGCGGCCGCGGUGAUACGUAGGGUGCGAGCGUUGUCCGGAUUUAUUGGGCGUAAAGGGCUCGUAGGUGGUUGAUCGCGUCGGAAGUGUAAUCUUGGGGCUUAACCCUGAGCGUGCUUUCGAUACGGGUUGACUUGAGGAAGGUAGGGGAGAAUGGAAUUCCUGGUGGAGCGGUGGAAUGCGCAGAUAUCAGGAGGAACACCAGUGGCGAAGGCGGUUCUCUGGGCCUUUCCUGACGCUGAGGAGCGAAAGCGUGGGGAGCGAACAGGCUUAGAUACCCUGGUAGUCCACGCUGUAAACGGUGGGUACUAGGUGUGGGGUCCAUUCCACGGGUUCCGUGCCGUAGCUAACGCUUUAAGUACCCCGCCUGGGGAGUACGGCCGCAAGGCUA